GUCAUUGUUAUUAUUAAUGAUUUAAAAUUGAAUUAUUGAUCUUAGAUAUUAAUUGAUAAUCAGCAUUAUUAUAAUUAAUAAGAUAUUGAUUACAUUUUAUGACUCUUUUUAUUGAUUACGUAGUCAUUACUAUAUUUUUUAUUUUGUCUAUCUAUUGUUUUAUUUGAAAACAGGUGAAUAAAUGGCUACAAUAUACACAACAAUAAUUAAGGACAUCACUCCAACUACAGAAAGUUAGAAGAUUGAAAUGAGAGUGUUAGAAAAAUCUGAAAAGCGGACAAGCAAGAGUUCACCACUCAAAUAUCAAAAGCUUAUGUUAGCAGAUAAAAAGGGUAAUGAUGUUGAAGCAGUAAUAUUUGGCACUGAAAUUGAUGCUAGAGAAAACACUUUGGAAGUGUUCCACACUUACUACAUCAGCAA